rnacentral:rRNA from 1 species
GAGGAAAAGAAAUCAACCGAGAUUCCCCCAGUAGCGGCGAGCGAACGGGGAGCAGCCCAGAGCCUGAAUCAGUGUGUGUGUUAGUGGAAGCGUCUGGAAAGGCGCGCGAUACAGGGUGACAGCCCCGUACACAAAAAUGCACAUGCUGUGAGCUCGAUGAGUAGGGCGGGACACGUGGUAUCCUGUCUGAAUAUGGGGGGACCAUCCUCCAAGGCUAAAUACUCCUGACUGACCGAUAGUGAACCAGUACCGUGAGGGAAAGGCGAAAAGAACCCCGGCGAGGGGAGUGAAAAAGAACCUGAAACCGUGUACGUACAAGCAGUGGGAGCACGCUUAGGCGUGUGACUGCGUACCUUUUGUAUAAUGGGUCAGCGACUUAUAUUCUGUAGCAAGGUUAACCGAAUAGGGGAGCCGAAGGGAAACCGAGUCUUAACUGGGCGUUAAGUUGCAGGGUAUAGACCCGAAACCCGGUGAUCUAGCCAUGGGCAGGUUGAAGGUUGGGUAACACUAACUGGAGGACCGAACCGACUAAUGUUGAAAAAUUAGCGGAUGACUUGUGGCUGGGGGUGAAAGGCCAAUCAAACCGGGAGAUAGCUGGUUCUCCCCGAAAGCUAUUUAGGUAGCGCCUCGUGAAUUCAUCUCCGGGGGUAGAGCACUGUUUCGGCAAGGGGGUCAUCCCGACUUACCAACCCGAUGCAAACUGCGAAUACCGGAGAAUGUUAUCACGGGAGACACACGGCGGGUGCUAACGUCCGUCGUGAAGAGGGAAACAACCCAGACCGCCAGCUAAGGUCCCAAAGUCAUGGUUAAGUGGGAAACGAUGUGGGAAGGCCCAGACAGCCAGGAUGUUGGCUUAGAAGCAGCCAUCAUUUAAAGAAAGCGUAAUAGCUCACUGGUCGAGUCGGCCUGCGCGGAAGAUGUAACGGGGCUAAACCAUGCACCGAAGCUGCGGCAGCGACGCUGAUGCGUUGUUGGGUAGGGGAGCGUUCUGUAAGCCUGCGAAGGUGUGCUGUGAGGCAUGCUGGAGGUAUCAGAAGUGCGAAUGCUGACAUAAGUAACGAUAAAGCGGGUGAAAAGCCCGCUCGCCGGAAGACCAAGGGUUCCUGUCCAACGUUAAUCGGGGCAGGGUGAGUCGACCCCUAAGGCGAGGCCGAAAGGCGUAGUCGAUGGGAAACAGGUUAAUAUUCCUGUACUUGGUGUUACUGCGAAGGGGGGACGGAGAAGGCUAUGUUGGCCGGGCGACGGUUGUCCCGGUUUAAGCGUGUAGGCUGGUUUUCCAGGCAAAUCCGGAAAAUCAAGGCUGAGGCGUGAUGACGAGGCACUACGGUGCUGAAGCAACAAAUGCCCUGCUUCCAGGAAAAGCCUCUAAGCAUCAGGUAACAUCAAAUCGUACCCCAAACCGACACAGGUGGUCAGGUAGAGAAUACCAAGGCGCUUGAGAGAACUCGGGUGAAGGAACUAGGCAAAAUGGUGCCGUAACUUCGGGAGAA